CACGCUUCGGCCCCUCGGCCCCUUCCCUCAGCUCCUCGGCCCCUUCCCUCAGCACCAUCCUUCGUCCCCUCGGCUCCUUCCUUCGUCCCCUCGGCUCCUUCCCUCAGCACCAUCCUUGGUCCCUUCAGCUCCUUCCUCCAUCUCCUCAUCCCCUUCCCUCAGCUCCUUCCCUCAGCACCAUCAGCACCAUCGUUCGGCCCCUCGGCCCCUUCCCUCAGCUCCUCGGCCCCUUCCCUCAGCACCAUCCUUCAUUCCCUCAGCGCCACCCUUCUUCCCCUCGGCUCCUUCCUUCGUCCCCUCGGCUCCUUCCUUCGUCCCCUCGGCCCCUUCACUGAGUUUCAUCCUUCAUCCCUUCGGCUCCUUCCCUCAGUGCCAUCCUUCAUCCCCUCAGCACCAUCCUUCUUGUCCUUGGCUCCUUCCUUCGUCCCCUCAGCCUCUUUCCUCAGCACCAUCCUUCGUCCCUUCGGCUCCUUCCCUCAGCGCCAUCCUUCUUCCCCUCGGCUCCUUCCUUCAUCCCCUCAGCCUCUUUCCUCAGCACCAUCCUUCGUCCCUUCGGCUUCUUCCCUCAGCGCCAUCCUUCAUUCCCUCAGCGCCAUCCUUCUUCCCCUCGGCUCCUUCCUUCAUCCCCUCAGCCUCUUUCCUCAGCACCAUCCUUCGUCCCUUCAGCUUCUUCCCUCAGCGCCAUCCUUCAUUCCCUCAGCACCAUCCUUCUUCCCCUCGGCUCCUUCCUUCAUCCCCUCGGCCCCUUUCCUCAGUGCCUUCCUUCACCUCCUUGGCUCCUUCCCUCAGCACCAUCCUUCAUCCCUUUGGCCCCUUCCCUCAGCUCCUUCCUUCAUCUCCUCAGCCCCUUCCCUCAGCUCCUUCCCUCAGCACCAUCCUUCAUUCCCUCAGCAUCAUCCUUCAUCCCCUUGGCUCUGCCCUUCAUCUCCUCAGCUCCUUCCCUCAGCACCAUCCUUCAGCCCCUCGAUCCCUUCCUUCAGCCUCCUCCCACAUCCCUUCAGUGCCUUUCUUCACCUCUUCCCUCUGCCCCUCUGCCCCUUCCCUGGGGCUUUCCCUCAGCCCCACUGCCCCCUUGCCCAAGGCCCUGGGGGGUCCCCACCACCCACCUGCCCCACUGGGGCCUUGGGGCCAGGACCGCUCUCGUGUGGUGGCUCCAGGCCCCACUCUGUGGUGUCCUUGGGGCUAUGGGGCACUUCCAUGGCAGGGGAUAGCUCCAUCACCCCUCUGGUGAGGACUUGCCCCAGGGUGUAA
rnacentral:lncRNA from 1 species